rnacentral:lncRNA from 1 species
AGUGAAACAUGAGUGUUCUUGCAUUUCCUUAACAAAUGGCCCAAGAAAAUUGCCUUCCAAACAUGCAAUAACUAUGAGGUGGUGAUCUGCUUGGCAAUCAGGCGCAUGGAACGUGUUCAAAAGCCCUUAACAGGAAUCAAGUGCUAAUUAAAAGGAAAAGAGGAAAGCAAUGAAUGCUGCAAUGAUUUUACCCAUAGACUUGAGAAAGCACAAAUGAAGAUUCAUUGAAACUGUAUUUUUCUGGGCUACUACAAGCAGAAAAAGAGAGAAAAUAUUUAACCAUCUUCUCAGACAUCUGCAGUUGGUUUCAGUUGGCGAAUGAUAGCUUUGGUUGCAACUUGGCCUAAAUGGAAGACUUCAGACAUGAAGCCCUGGAGUUCUCUUCAAUGACAAAGGAGAACUUGAUCAUGAUCAAGGGACUGAAACAGAAACCCAGAAUGACUGAUGUGCUGCUAGAAGAUUUCAAGAAAAACAGCCACAUGCUUCAACAAGAACAUUUUGGCUUGUUAUCCAAAGAAAAGAAUGUGAAUGAGAAGAUCAGUGUGGCUGGCUCCUGGAAACAUAUUCAUGUGGGGAACUUUAUACACAUUGAAGAGGACCCACAGAAGACAGCACGAUCUCUUUAUAGGUCUGCCUGUUGUUUAGCCCUAUCCAUGCCCGUUUGCUGCUGUGAUCAACUCACACACUGAACAAGGUUGGGGAAAUGAGAGACUACAAAAAUAGUGUUCCAGAGUAAAACCAGCUGAAAACAGAGAGACUUCAUUGAAAAAAAGUGGAGUUUGGAUAAGAGUUGACAGAGGCCUCCAUUCUGCUAAACCUGUCGCCUAUUAAUGUGUCCAGAACCACUCUCCGGCUCUGGGGAUGAGUGGCAUUAGCGCGGUCUGGAUUUACACAACCAGCCUGCCUCUUUGUACCUAACCCCAGUUACCACAUCCAUGCUGCCUCUUGGGAAGAGCCCUGGGUCUGCAAGAGUCACCCAAAUAAUGUUCGGUCAGCCCAAGCCAAAAUUGAACUAAACAAAGUGCAAAGAAGGAAACAGACUGUGUGACAGUCUCAAACCUGUCAGUUUGCCAUGAUAAACAGACCCUUUGGAACAGCAUAAUGAGAUAUGUUUCAUCCCAUCCCAUGUGUUAUGUUCAGGGACUGUUCCAGAAAGGGCCUGAUUCAAAGAACAUCAAAAUUGUUUGCAGUUUUCCCAGCGGUUUCAAUGGACUUUGCGAUCUACUCUUCAACAUUUGACAAUAAUCAGCAUUUUCCCUAGAACAUACUACUUAAAUGUACAGAAAUCUAAAUAAAAAAGUGUUCUCAUAAUUUUGAAAUCCUCA